rnacentral:siRNA from 1 species
UCAACACUUUUAGAUCUUUUGCCA